CGGACGGGUGAGUAACGCGUGGGUAACCUACCCUGUACACACAGACAACAUACCGAAAGGUAUGCUAAUACGGGAUAAUAUAUUUGAGAGGCAUCUCUUGAAUAUCAAAGGUGAGCCAGUACAGGAUGGACCCGCGUCUGAUUAGCUAGUUGGUAAGGUAACGGCUUACCAAGGCGACGAUCAGUAGCCGACCUGAGAGGGUGAUCGGCCACAUUGGAACUGAGACACGGUCCAA
rnacentral:rRNA from 1 species